UCUAGUAAAGUCACAGAACUACUUUCAACUAUUACUCGCAAUCAAAAGAAAAUAAUAUAAGAUUCACUUUCAUCCAGUCAUCUCUACAAUCUGCAGUCUACCUUGUAACUAGUCUGCCAGGUUUUGCUGCUGCAAUGCUUCUUCUACUGCUACUGAUUUCUUGCUGCCAUGUAGUCUCACAUCGAUCCCAGUUCAUUGCCUGUAACUUCAGUCCUCUACGUAUUCCCUUGUAGUGUAUUUAUCCUAAG
rnacentral:lncRNA from 1 species